UGGGGAAUAUUGCACAAUGGGCGCAAGCCUGAUGCAGCGACGCCGCGUGAGGGAUGACGGCCUUCGGGUUGUAAACCUCUUUCAGUACCGACGAAGCGCAAGUGACGGUAGGUACAGAAGAAGCACCGGCCAACUACGUGCCAGCAGCCGCGGUAAUACGUAGGGUGCGAGCGUUGUCCGGAAUUACUGGGCGUAAAGAGCUCGUAGGCGGUUUGUCGCGUCGUCUGUGAAAACCCGCAGCUCAACUGCGGGCUUGCAGGCGAUACGGGCAGACUUGAGUACUGCAGGGGAGACUGGAAUUCCUGGUGUAGCGGUGAAAUGCGCAGAUAUCAGGAGGAACACCGGUGGGGAAGGCGGGUCUCUGGGCAGUAACUGACGCUGAGGAGCGAAAGCGUGGGUAGCGAACAG
rnacentral:rRNA from 1 species